GUGAACGCUGGCGGUAGGCCUAACACAUGCAAGUCGAACGGCAGCACAGUAAGAGCUUGCUCUUACGGGUGGCGAGUGGCGGACGGGUGAGGAAUACAUCGGAAUCUACUUUUUCGUGGGGGAUAACGUAGGGAAACUUACGCUAAUACCGCAUACGACCUACGGGUGAAAGCAGGGGAUCUUCGGACCUUGCGCGAUUGAAUGAGCCGAUGUCGGAUUAGCUAGUUGGCGGGGUAAAGGCCCACCAAGGCGACGAUCCGUAGCUGGUCUGAGAGGAUGAUCAGCCACACUGGAACUUAGACACGGUCCAGACUCCUACGGGAGGCAGCAGUGGGGAAUAUUGGACAAUGGGCGCAAGCCUGAUCCAGCCAUACCGCGUGGGUGAAGAAGGCCUUCGGGUUGUAAAGCCCUUUUGUUGGGAAAGAAAAGCAGCAGGUUAAUACCCCGCUGUUCUGACGGUACCCAAAGAAUAAGCACCGGCUAACUUCGUG
rnacentral:rRNA from 1 species